UUAAAUGUUGGUUUCUGAACAUCUUGCAGAGCUUUACACAAAGAAAAUGUUUCAGUUGCUGCAGGCUGCUUAUUCUACAAUAAGCAUACAAUAAGCAGUUUCUCUUAUCUCCCUCAUACCCAUUUUUCUUUCCUCUCAUAGGCGACACUCUGCUUCCCUCUCCAUCUGACAUUUUCUAGCUUUCUUUACAAGAGAAGUUUGAAUCCAUCUGGCAUACAAAGGAGCUGUAAAAGAAGAAGGAAGGGGUCUUUCUAUUUGGGACACUUUUUCACAUACUCCUGUUUAAAGAUGUCAGCAGAUGUAUCUUCAUGCCAUGGCGGAGAUGGUGGUGGUCAAGAUCCACCGAAUCCUACUACGAUCCCCUCCAGUUGCGAGUCAGUGGCUCCACUAAAGAGAAAAGGUCGUGGGCCUGCCGCUGGGAAAAAUUUAGAUGACAGAAGGCGAGAAGCAGGACAUCCACUUCCCAUAGUGGUUGACCCUAUUACAUACAAGGUGGUGGGAACAGAACAUGC